GUAAUAUCCUCGCUUUUGAAAAUUAUUAAUAAAGAUUUAUUUAUAAAUCAGAGGACCUAUAUGUAAAUAUGGAAGUUUCAAGGACUAAACUGUUAAGUUGUAAAAAGAAGAAAAUAAAGAAAACCGAAAAUUCGGUUUUAUCCCACCGCCUCCCACUCUCUCUCUGUUUCUUCGAGAAACAGAGAGAAGCGGUGGGGCGUGGGGAGAAGAAGAAGAGAAGUAGAGGGAGAAGAGAAGAAGAGGGAAAAGAAGAGAGGAAGAAGAGAAGAAAAGAAGAAGUAGAAGAGAGGNNN
rnacentral:lncRNA from 1 species